UCAAAAUCUGAGUUUAUUUACAAUAGUUUUAACGUAUCUUAUAUUGUACUGAAUUUCUAUUAUUAACAAUGGCAAAAUUAUCAACGCUGCAAUUAUUUGAAAAACAUACUCGCUACGACAAUAAACACUAAUAAAUUUCAAUUUCCAUUUGUAAAUUACCAUAACACAGAGAAAACAACUGAUUUUGUUAUUGUUAACUUAAACGUCUUCACUUAUCAAUAUUUACGUUAAAUUGUCGCAUAUCCGUAUGGGUUUAUUAAGUAUGCAAUAUUCCGCUAAAUUACUGAACUCGAUCACCACCUUCAUUAUAAAUAAACACAGAUGUGGAAAUUUAAAUUAGAACAAAUCAUCAUGUCUGAUCAACCGAAGGACCAUCAAAACGAACAAGCGCCAAAAGUUGCGGAAACCUCCAAGGGGGAAAAGAAGGAAUCGAUGCCGGAUAAACCGGAGAUUUCGUUGAUGAACUUCGCAGACGUGCCCGAUAGGAGCAACGUUGGUGUCGACGGUAAAUUGCAAGAUGAAUUCAAAUGAAAUAAUAUUCUAAUAAAGAUCUGACAUUAUAAUUUUGUAAAUUUUAUUUCGAAUCCAGACCCACUAACUUUAUAUGAUUGAAUUUCAAAUGUAAAUAUUUAUACAAAUUCCAAAUUGAAAAUUGUUCAGCUCCGUCAUCAAUUCGGUAAAUCUCAAUCGUUAAACAACACAAUACUAAAUUUCAUUUCACUCAAAUUAGUAAUGGCUACCGAAGGAAAGAUUACGUCAUUGCCAAGUAAAUUAUAUUAGCAUGGACGUGUAAUCGCCAACCGCAGAUGAGAAAAGUUAGAUCCGCGAAGAUGUCGGAAACGGACAAAAUCUGUUUCGGUCGUACUGAAGACAAUUCGAAUCGUGCAGCCAGCUUCGCCGAAAAGGAAAGGGGCGAAGUGGAAAAACAAACCCAAAACGAACAGGUGCCGAAGAUGGCCACCCGGAAUUUCGCUGAUGUUCCGGCCCGGGAAAACGUUGGGGUUGACGGAGCUGAAGAGGAGGAGUUUAAGUGAUUUUACGUUUGUUGAUUGUUAAAUGUUAUGCAGUAGUGUGUGUUAACUCAACUCUGAUAGUGUACGUCGCAAUAACAGUUGUGCUUGAGAUUAUUUAGUUGUAAAUUUGCAAUUUAGUAAAUUUGUUUAAUUUU